rnacentral:lncRNA from 1 species
AGCAUUGAUAAUAUAGACUGAGCAUCUCUAAUCUGAAAAAUCUUAAAUGCUCCCUAAUCCAAAUAUCUGAAAUGCUCCAAAAUCCAAAACUUCUUGAGCACCAACAUGACACUCAAAGGAAAUGCUCAUUGGGGCAUUUUGGAUUUUGGAUUUCUGGGUUAGGGCUGCUCAUCUGGUACUGCAAAUAUUCCCAAAUCCAAAAACAUCUGAAACCUGAAACACUUCUGGUCUCAAACAUUUCAGAUAAGGGAUAUUCAACCUGUACUUAGAUAAAUGGUCAUGACUGUGUUCCAAUCAAAUGUGAUUCACAAAAUCAGGUGCUGAGCUGGUUUGGUUCACGGGCUGCUGUUUGCCACCGUGGUUUUAUGUCUAUCGUAUCUGUAUGGCGGAAAUGCUAUGUACUUGUGUUAAUCCUACUAUAUAAGUCUUCCCUAGUUCCUUGAAAGGUGUCAUUUUGGUAGCUUGCAAUUGGCCGUGGUGGGGGUAUUUAUACCACCAAAUCAGCAGAGGCUACAAACAGGGUUGCCCCUCAGCCCCCAAGAGCUGGUUGUUAAACAUUCCAGCACACCCCUGGCUAAUGUGGUCUGUGAAGGCCUCUUCAGGGAGGUGACCUCUGAACAGAAACCUGAAACCACACUUAGUCCUUCCAACCUGCAGAGGCCCAUCCCACCCCCAAUGGGCGACCUACAGGGCACAGUUCAGAAAUACAUCGGAACAAAACAGUCUGAAGUUUACAGAGAUGGCCGGACCCAACAAAACGCACAUUUGUUUAAAACACAGUAUAUUCCAGUGUCAUCACCCCACCACGCACUAACCCAGGAGCAGCCUCGCCUCCCUGGAGCCAAUAAGAAGGCACAGCGAAGAAGCCACUCAUCAUGGCCUGAGGCCUGACUGCAUUUACUACAGGCUGCUGAGUCUUGCCUGCCACCAAAUAGAACCUGCAAGGCAAGGCCUGAGGGGUCGCUUCCAAAGUCUGCUAAAGUUGGGGAGGACUGGAGGAGAGGGACUCAGGGAGGCAUCCGUGGUACAGUCAACUUCCUCACCAACUCUUCAAACCCCAGUGUAACUUCAAACUACUUAGUUUGGAAAAGGCCAUAUUAGGUGUUUAAACAGAUUUGUGUGUUAGUUGUAAGGUGAUUUCAUACACGGAAUUUAAAGGUUUUCAUUAACUCCUAGUAAAGUGGUACAGUCAAAAGAGUGGACGCAACUUGCAAAUUUCAGUCGCGCUUUUGUAAUAAGGGUCAGUCUGCUGGGAGAAUUACACUAUUCUUAUAAUAUCCAUUUCAGUCUUCACUCCCCUAAUUACUCUCAUUAGACCUCAGAAUCUACCUCCUCUCCAAUAAAUCCACACUCCAAGCAGUCUACUGAAGCUGGCAGCCCACAGAGACCUGACUGCCCACAGUUCAGUGCAAAGACAGGCUUGAAAGCUUGCCCCAAAACAGUCCCUCCCCAAGAUUUCUCCUGCCUUCUUUCUUCCCUAAUCAACUUGGUGAGCUCUCUCCUUUCUUUUUAUACAUCUGAGGCUUAUCUCUGAAAUAUUUCCUAAACAAAGAGAUUAGCGUCAUCAUCAUGCCCAUUUAAGGACAUCUUUUAAGUCCUCUUCACAAAUAGUGUAAUUUUCAUCCUACUUCUAAAUUCUCUCUCCUGCCUCUGGAACACAUUCCCCAUAUAUUCCCUGAGUUCUUCCUCAAGGGACUGGGCUGGUAGCUUUACAAUAAAUUUUCUACUUUCCCUUAGGAGCUCGUUCAUGUCCACAUUCUCUUUCUGCAGGGCAGAAUGUUCCACCAGGGAAUGCCAAGUUGAUUCUGUCUCCCUCAGAAAACUCCAUUCCUCCUGACAACUGGUUCCCAAUCCUGGUUGCACAGUCACAAGGAGUGGGGACUAUGAAAAAGUGUGCCAACCCUUGAAUCUGACAAGGAAGAUCAGUGAUGUCAUAACAGCAUUGUUUGGAUAUCAGCAUGCAUAUCCACCCAUGGGGUUCUGAAACAGAAAUGCAUAAGGAGCUUUGACAAGGACCCACUGUCUGGCCCCAUCUUCAGAGAUUCCAAUAGGUCUGGGGUGUGCACAGGCACUGGCGUCUUUAAAAUCUCCCUGUGUGAAUUCAACAUGCAACCAGGAUUGAAUGGAGAACUGCUGCUCGAAGUUUGAUAAUGAGGUGAUAAUGAGGAAGAACAUGCCUCAGCAAGUCAGAAAAAGGGGCUUAGGGGAGGGCCAGUGGCUCCUCCUUCGGCCAGGCCAGCUUUCUUCUGACAAGGACUUGUUUUCACAACUGUCCAGAUCCGCAGAUGGGCACAAGAUGAUGGAAUGAAGCAGCGGGGGACAACUUCUGGCUGGAGUGGCUUGGAGGCUGGAGCAGCUGAGCUUUAACAAGCAUCAGAGGUCAGAAUUACUUGGCUAGAUCAAGAAGCCACACAGCAUCAUAAUGCCGCUGGCACAUCUCCCAGAACAGGGUACCAGGACCCCUGUGAAGAUACCCAUGGUUCAAUCAUCAGGACCUACAGAUCCUUCCAUGUUAAGGACAACACCAAUAAUACUGAGAAAGCAAACGGCAGAUUGGCAGUGUUAAAGGAUAACAACGUGCCAACAGAAUAUUAAGAAAGAAAACUUCUUUGCAAAAGUUGAUAGAGAGACUACAAAUAUCAGUCAAAUUACAAACAGACAACAGAGGACAGCAUUUGGAAACGACUUCCCGAGGCAAGCACUAUUCAGUGCCCCACUUCCCUCUCCCCAUGCCCCUUUGCAAAGAUCUAUUACAUUAAUAAAUUUCUUUAAAUGCUAAAA